rnacentral:tmRNA from 1 species
AACCACUAAAUCCAGCGGAUCGCCUUUCCGGGAGCGUGUGCAUCCGCGCCUGGGGGGUUAAAACCAAACGAUGACACUAAGCAUGUAGAGCUUGCGACGGAUAGUUUGCGGACGGGGGUUCAAUUCCCCCCGGCUCCACCA